rnacentral:lncRNA from 1 species
AAGCUACAGCUUUUUCCAGUGAUCAAAUAAAGGUAUCACCUGCCCUUACUUUUGUAUCAUGUAAGGCCCACAUAGCUUUAUCUGUGUUUUCAGAGCUGAUGGAGUUGCUCUGCUACUGUCUCACGCCACUGUAGCCUAAUGGAAUGGCUCCCGCCUGGUGCAAUCGAAAAGACCAACACUGAAAACAUGAUGCUGCUUCCCAUCUUUCAAUCCACAACUUGCUAAGAGUGUGAACUAUACUUACUGGAGACAAAAUUACUUUCAGCAAGAUUCAUUCCUGUCAUCUACCAGCUGGACUGCUCAGCUCUUCAUCACAGUCUGGGCUGCAGGGAAAUGUAGGACAGUGAGAUUACUGACUGUUCAUAUGAGGAGGAAGAGAUGGAUGCAAAUGUGAACAGAUGGAUGUAGACACACAGAAAUGCAGAGGAUGUACAAGAGUCCCUGAAGCCAUGCCUACAUUUACCAAAGGCAUACAGCAAAUACUUCUGACCAAGAGGAUAAACAAAUAAAUGUUAGCUUUCGUAACAAGGAACCCAUAACUCACUUUUCUAAAAUAGCAUUACAAAUCCCACAGAGUUUCAGAUUAUUUCAUGUGUCUGACACAGCCAUCUGAAAAAUAAAUUUUAAGAAAAGAGCA